AACACAAACCUAUGCAGAGGUGGGUCCCGGGCCUUAGAGAUGGCCUCUCUAAGGCCCGGGACCCACCUCUGCAUA